rnacentral:lncRNA from 1 species
GGCCAUUUAUUUAAGGCCUGGAAAGAAUUUACCAACUAUAAGAAAAUCAUGUGACUUUCUUGGUGAAAUGGCAUCAGAAGAUUUCCGGGGACCAAAGAGCACCAUAACCAGGUGUAGCUGGAGUCAGGCCAUUUUGUGUCAGCCAGUGCCAAAGUCCUUCCAGGUGGUGGCUGCUCUUUCUAAGGACUAUUUGAACUUACAGCAAUCUGAUCAAGGCAGGUUUUAGAGUUUCAGGAAUGCUGGUGAGCCAUGUCUUGCAUGUUUAACCCAAAGCUUCCCUGGAGUUGGAGACUGCACUACUUUUCAUCCAUCAUACACUUUUUGGGCACUCGCUUGUUGGUGCUGGGCACUGUGUUAGACUCCAGAAAGACAGAUAAUUGUUUAGUAAAGGAAAAAAAAAUGCUGUUUCUGCCCUGGAAAAAUGUGCCUGACACAGAGGCCUUUUGUAUUUCUGUUCUGGUCAAAUAGCAACUCUCUCCUCGAGGCCAUAAAUGCUGAAGCUUAGACCUAGUAUUUGAUAGCACAACAGGGUAACUAUAGUCAAUAAUAAUUUAAUUGUACAUUUAAAAAUAACUAAAAGAGUAUAGUUGGAUGGUUUGUAACACAAAGGAUAAAUGCUUGAGGGGAUGGAUACCCUACUUUCCAUGAUGUGAUUAUUAUGCAUUGCAUGCCUGUACCCAAAUAUCUCAUGUAUCCCACAAAUAUAUAGACCUACUAUGUGCCCACAAAAAUUAAAAAUUAAGAAUUAAAAAAAAAAUGCCACAAGACAGGAGAGGUAAGUUAGCCUAGAAAGAGCUUGUUAAAAAAAAAAAAAAAAUCCUUUCUUUACAGUCGAAUAAUAUUUUAGCAAUGCUGCCCUCUGCAGAGCAAAACUAGGAUCGCAACUCUAGGUGGUUAAACGAACUUCCCAACACUGGUUAAUUUGAAGAGAACUGGAAGAUUCAAUGGUCUUCCAGAGUUUUCUCACAUACCCCCCUAAAAUAAUUGUGAAUAAUCAUGUGCCUCCUUGCGUGUUUUUAAGUUGACAUCUAAAUUUGCCUUAUCACCUUAAUAGUUGCAAAGGAUGUUCUUUCCCACACAUUUUCUGAGCUUUAAAUAGUUGCAGAUUGAGCGUAUCCAGUUUAGUUUAUGAAAAACACCAUCUGUAUCACCUGGUGGGCAAAGCCAGCCCUCAUUGUCAGACCAAUCAGCUAACUUUGAAUUGCUUUCUGACAGAAAAAUAGUUUACUCGACUGUAUUAAUCACGCUGCUGAUAAAGACUUAUCCGAGACUGGGUAAUUCUUAAAAAAAAGGAGGUUUAAUGGACUCACAGUUCCAUGUGGCUGGAGACGCCUCAUAAUCAUGGUGGAAGAUGAAGGAAGAGCAAUGGGACGUCUUACAUGGCAGCAGGCAAGAGAGAAAGAGAGCCAAACGAAAGGGGAAACCCCUAUAAAAGCAUCAAAUGUUUGAUGAAAAGACUUUGAAAUUCAUUGUUGAAAAGACUUAUUCUGUUCAACAUUGUUGAAAAGUUGUUUGAAAAGACUUAUUCAUUACCAUGAGAACAGUAUGUGGGAAACUGCCCCCAUGACUCAAUGAUUUCCCACUGGCACCCUCCCACAACACGUGGGAAUUAUGGAAGCUGCAAUUCAAGAUGAGAUUUGGGUGGAGACACAGCCAAACCAUAUCAUUGACUGACUUAAAUUCAACAGAACUGUGCUUUGGAGGACAUCGUUGCGCUGCUGACUUCUAACACUGAGGUGAUCCUGCCUUAUCCUGGAGAAAGAAAUGUUAUGCAAGAGGCCAAGAAGAAGCUAAACAAACAAGCCAUGAUGGAUUCCCAUCUCAGCUUAUUACCAUUGGGACAUGUCCUUUUUGUCCAAUCACAUUUCUACAUGGCAGUACAGUCUUCAUCAAACCUAAGCAUUAAAAAAAAAGUUUUCUCUGGGUCUUUGGGUCUUUUGUUUCGGAAGGCUCCUGUAUUACAUAAAACUUUGUUAAAUAAAUUUGUUAUACUUUUUU